UACAGAGGGUGCAAGCGUUAAUCGGAAUUACUGGGCGUAAAGCGCGCGUAGGUGGUUUGUUAAGUUGGACGUGAAAGCUCCUGGCUUAACUGGGAGAGGCCGUUCAAAACUGUCAAGCUAGAGUCUGGAAGAGGAGAGCGGAAUUCCCGGUGUAGUGGUGGAAUGCGUAGAUAUCGGGAGGAACACCAGAGGCGAAGGCAGCUCGCUGGGACGGUACUGACGCUGAGGCGCGAAAGCGUGGGGAGCGAACAGG
rnacentral:rRNA from 1 species